CGCCGUGUCGAUGGCGCUACGCACGUUGUUGCCGCUGGUGGUGGCGAUGCCGCUGCUGGCGUUGCUCGUCUGGAUCGUGGUCGGACGCGGCUU
rnacentral:tRNA from 1 species